rnacentral:misc_RNA from 1 species
GGAGGGAUCAUUUCUGUAGGGCUUGUCCCUGGUUGUUUGAUCCUCCGGAAAUUACAAUCCGAGUGCAAUCUCGUUAAUCUACGGAUGGAUGCGAGCUGUAAUCGCAAUGUCCAGUUAAAAACUUUAUGGUGGAUCACUUGGGUUCUGUGACGAUGAAGAACGUAGCAAGCCGCGUUAUUUAGUGCGACAUGCAAAGCUCGUGAAGCAUCGAAAUUUCGAACAUACUCAAUACUGUUCAGUAUCCGUACUGCAGCAGUACUUGCUCGAGAGUGUCAGCUAUUUACGUUGUAAAGACAAGGCAAGCGAGCCGCUACCUUGUCUAUCGUGUUGGAAACAACACUGUGUGCAAACACGGUCGAUUCUCGGCCAGGCCACAAACGUUUACGUUUAGCUAUGAAGAUGGAUGAAGACCGCAAGGUUGGAAUCUGUUGGAAUAUUUCAAAAUGAAAAUUAACCAAAUCUUCUUCUGACCUCUCCUGCGAGAGAUUACCUACCGAAUUUAAGCAUAUUAGUAAGUAGAGGAAAAGAAAUCAAAAGAGAUUCGCUUAGUAGCGGCGAGUGAAACGCGAAUUGUCCAUCCUGAAAUCUAGCGCAAGCCGGAUGUUGUGGGGUGAAGGGUAUUGUCCUUCGUGUCGGGCUGACUUAAUCAUCCUGGAAAGGUGAACCAAAGAGGGUGAAAGUCCCAGUAGAGUCGGUUUUAGGCAUGGUCGGAUUUUACUCCACGAGUAGCAUUCUUUGAAAGUAGAAUGUGAAUAUGGGUGAUGAAUUUCAUCUAAGACUAAAUAUUAACACAGAAUACCGAUAGCAAACAAGUACUGAGAAGGAAAGUUGAAAAGAUCCCUGAAGAGGGGCUGAAAAAUAUGUGAAACCAUUGAGUGAACAAAGCGAAUCCAACACGCCCAUCUACCAAACAGCAAUUAUUGUCAAGGUUUGGUAGCCAGUGAUGUAUCGCAAGGUGCAUUCGUCCAUUUGCCUGGUAGAAUGCUACUGUUUAGGCUUGAAACCAAAGAGGUGAACUCAUUUCGGUGAGGAAUCCUCGGAGGCCAGGGUCUACUCGGUGGCAUUUCGCAAGUUACGGUUUUGGACAUCCACUGUUUGGCAUUGGAUUCGACCCGUCUUGAAACACGGACAAAGGAGUUUGACACUAUAGCGAGAGUGUAGCGUUGAAACGUAAAGCUCGUAGUGAAUGCGUACGAUGUUAGCUUCGGCGAAGCGUCAACCAAUCCAGAACUUCGGUUGGAAUUGCGUUUUAGUUAUAUUGUUGAGACCCGAAAGAUGGUGACCUAUACUUGAAUAGAUUGAAGUCAGGGUAACCUCUGAUGGAGGAUCUCGAACGGUGCUGACGUGCAAAUCGCUCGUCGUACUUGGGUAUUGGAGCGAAAGACUCAUCGAACCAUCAGGUAGCUGGUUCCUCC